GGUAGACGAUAAUUGCAUCCUUACUAAAUCCAUAUCCAUAGGUCCGACGAUUGAUUUGACUUUUUUUUAGUUAUUAUUCAACGUCUCCAUGAAAACUUCAUCAUCAUCAUCAUCAUCAGUGGUGGAGUUCCUUGAGAAGGUACCCUUGUUGCAUCGGUUAACUUCCUCUUCUCUGAAGAAAAUCGCCCAAGUCCUUGUCUUCAAGCGUUACGAGAGAGGGGAUUAUGUAGUUGGUAGAGAUGAUGAGGAGAUGGAGGGAGUCUAUUUUGUCGUGGAAGGACAGGUUUGGAUUGUUACUUUGUGUGACUCAUAUGAAGAUAAAAGACAAUUGCAACUUGUUAUGUUUUGUUUACAGGCUCAGGUUCUAGGACCUCUCGGAGAAGAGAACUGUUCGGAGUUUUUCUUGAAACCAUUUGAUUACUUCGGCCGUGGCAUUUUUGGGAAUGUUUAUGCAGUAGAUGUUGUUGCUGUCUCACAGCUUACCUGCCUACUCUUGACUUGUGAUCAUUGUCAUUUGCUUGAGACAAAGCCAAUGUGUGAUUCAGAUAACGAACGCUCUCUACUGGAACGCAUUUUGUAUAUGGAUCCAUUAGAUUUGAAUGUAUUCAGGGGGUUCACUCUACCCAAUGCCCCAGCCCUUGGAAAGGUUUUCGGAGGGCAAUUUGUUGCACAGGGACUUGCCGCAGCCUCAAAAACUGUUGAAUUUAUGAAGUUAGUCCAUAGUUUACACGCCUAUUUCCUUCUUUCUGGAGAUACUAAUAGUAAGGACUUUAAUCUCAAUAUGCUUUUGCUAGCAAGCACAUUGCUGUUUUCCUCUGAAAGUUCUCUUGCAGUUCCCAUCAUAUAUGAAGUUAGCCGCUUACGCGAUGGCAACAACUUUGCCACCCGAAGAGUAGAUGCAAGACAGAAAGGAAAAACCAUAUUCACCUUGUUCGCAUCAUUUCAGAGAGAGCAACAAGGUUUUGAUCACCAGGAGUCGAACAUGCCUCAUAUGCUACCUCCUGAAACGCUUGUAUCAAGGGAUGAAAUGCUUCAACGGCGUAUGACUGACCAUCUGAUACCUAGGUAUUACCGAAAUAAAGUUGCAACCCAAUAUACUGCCCCACUGCCUAUAGAUAUUCGAUUUUGUGAGCCAAAUUACUCUACAGAAGAGAGAAAGUCUCCUUCAAGAUUGAAAUAUUGGUUUAAGGCAAGGGGAGAACUUUCUGACGACCAGGCUUUGCACCGAUGUGUGGUUGCAUUUGCUUCAGAUUUGAUGUACGCCUUUAUCAGUUCAGACCCUCACCUUAAAAAGCGCAUGAGUGCAGUUCCUGUUAGCCUUGACCAUUCGAUGUGGUUCCACCGACCUCUAAGAGCUGAUGACUGGCUCCUCUUUGUGAUGGUGAAUCUAACAGCGUCUCAAAGUCGUGGUUUAGCAACUGGAGAAAUGUUCAACAGAAAGGGAGAGGUACGUUGUUGUAUCCUUCUUAGUCUUAAGUACACAUACUCAGAGACCAGCUGAAGAAGCUUUGUGGAGUUCUCUCAUAUGCUCCCCUUAAUCAUCAAUCAAAUCUUCGAUGAAAGAGUUAUUGGACUGUGCAGCUGGUGGUAUCGUUGAAGCAAGAAGCUUUGCUCAAAGAAACUGUGACUGGUAACCCCAUCUUGGACUCCAAGCUGUGAGUGAUAGUCUAUCACUGAUAGACGUACCACAUACAUACAAGGGAGUUUUUGCAGCUGAUACAUUCUAAUGCUUGAAUGAUUAUUUCCCCUCGAUAAAGGGGGUAUUGAAUGUAUAUUAUACUGCGAUAUUUGGUCAACAAUGUUUUUAAAGAAAAAAUCGAACCGGGAAUUAGUGACGGUUUAAAAUUAGGGAUUUGGUUAGGGUAUAUUCACGUUUCAAGUAAUAAUAUACUUGUAAGCAAGAAGAAGCUUUGCUCAAACAUAAAAAUAAUAUACUUGUAAAUUUUGAAUA